rnacentral:rRNA from 1 species
CGGUAAUUCCAGCUCCAAUAGCGUAUACUAAAGUUGUUGCAGUUAAAAAGCUCGUAGUUGGAUUUCUGCGCGGGUGGGGCGUCCGCCGGCCUCAGGUCGGGUUGGGCAGCAACGCCCAUGCAUCCUGCUGCGAUCCGCGCUACCAUUCGUUUGGUGGCGUCGGGGACCAGCUCGAUUACUUUGAGAAAAUUUGAGUGUUCAAAGCAGGCAAUUGCCUUGAAAAUUCUAGCAUGGACCAAUGGAUAAGGACUUUGGUUCUAUUUCGUUGGCUUUCGGAACCGAAGUAAUGAUUGAUAGGGACGGUUGGGGGCGUCUGUAUUCUGAAGCGAGAGGUGAAAUUCUUAGACCUUCGGAAGACAAACAGCUGCGAAAGCGUUCGCCAAGGACGUUCCCUUUGAUCAAGAACGAAAGUUGGGGGAUCGAAGACGAUCAGAUACCGUCGUAGUCUCAACUAUAAACUAUACCAGCUAGGGAUCGGCCAACGUUGAUCUACAAAGACUUGGUCGGCACCUUAUGAGAAAUCAAUAGCAUUUGGGUUCCGGGGGGAGUAUGGUCGCAAGGCUGAAACUUAAAGGAAUUGACGGAAGGGCACCACCGGGCGUGGAGCCUGUGGCUUAAUUUGACUCAACACGGGGAAACUUACCAGGUCCAGACAUAGGAAGGAUUGACAGAUUGACAGCUCUUUCUUGAUUCUAUGGGUGGUGGCGCAUGGCCGUUCUUAGUUGGUGGAGUGAUUUGUCUGGUUAAUUCCGUUAACGAACGAGACCCCAGCCUGCUAAAUAGCGCGCGUGGCUUCUGGCCGCGGCGAGCUUCUUAGAGGGACUACGGUUCGCCAUAGACCGGGGAAGUUUGGGGCAAUAACAGGUCUGUGAUGCCCUUAGAUGUUCUGGGCCGCACACGGGCUACACUGACGCGUGCAACGAGCAUAUCAGCUGGCCCGAGAGGGCAUGGGCUAAUCUUUUGAACUCGCGUCGUGCUAGGGAUUGACCAUUGCAAUUGUUGGUCAUGCAACGAGGAAUGCCUUGUAAACGCGAGUCAUCAACUCGCAUUGAAUACGUCCCUGCCCCUUGUACACACCGCCC